AUUCAACUGAUGAGUCCCAAAUAAGACGAAACACACAUCAUGGAU
rnacentral:hammerhead_ribozyme from 1 species